rnacentral:rRNA from 1 species
GUGAGGAAUUUUGCGCAAUGGGGGAAACCCUGACGCAGCGACGCCGCGUGGAGGAUGAAGGCCUUCGGGUCGUAAACUCCUGUCAGAGGUGAAGAAGCCCGCAAGGGUUGACGGUAACCUCAGAGGAAGCCCCGGCCAACUACGUGCCAGCAGCCGCGGUAAUACGUAGGGGGCGAGCGUUGCUCGGAAUUACUGGGCGUAAAGGGUGUGUAGGCGGCUGAGCAAGUCGUGGAUGAAAUCCCGAGGCUUAACCUCGGAAUUGUCCUCGAUACUGCUCGGCUUGAGGGCAGUGGAGGAGAAUGGAAUUCCCGGUGGAGCGGUGAAAUGCGUAGAUAUCGGGAGGAACACCUGAGGCGAAAGCGAUUCUCUAUGCUGUUCCUGACGCUGAAACACGAAAGCUAGGGGAGCGAACGGGAUUAGAAACCCCGGUAGUCC